rnacentral:rRNA from 1 species
UGUCCACGGGGGGCAGCAGUGGGGGAUAUUGCACAAUGGGGGAAACCCUGAUGCAGCGACGCCGCGUGUGGGAAGACGGUCCUCUGGAUUGUAAACCACUGUCCCCAGGGACGAAGAUGACGGUACCUGGGGAGGAAGCUCCGGCUAACUACGUGCCAGCAGCCGCGGUAAUACGUAGGGAGCGAGCGUUGUCCGGAAUUACUGGGUGUAAAGGGAGCGUAGGCGGGGAUGCAAGGUGGGUGUCAAAACUACCGGCUCAACUGGUAGUCGCACUCAAAACUGCAGGUCUUGAGGGAGGUAAAGGG